rnacentral:rRNA from 1 species
AGCGAACGCUGGCGGCAGGCCUAACACAUGCAAGUCGAACGAACCUUUCGGGGUUAGUGGCGGACGGGGGAGUAACACGUGGGAACGUGCCUUUAGGUUCGGAAUAACUCAGGGAAACUUGUGCUAAUACCGAAUGGGCCCUUCGGGGGAAAGAUUUAUCGCCUUUAGAGCGGCCCGCGUCUGAUUAGCUAGUUGGUUGAGGUAAUGGCUCACCAAGGCGACGAGCAGUAGCUGGUCUGGGAGGAUGAUCAGCCACAUUGGGACUGAGACACGGCCCAAACUCCUACGUGAGGCAGCAGUGGGGAAUCUUGCGCAAUGGGCGAAAGCCUGACGCAGCCAUGCCGCGUGAAUGAUGAAGGUCUUAGGAUUGUAAAAUUCUUUCACCGGGGACGAUAAUGACGGUACCCGGAGAAGAAGCCCCGGCUAACUUCGUG